CAGGAAUGGAUAAAGCAUGGAGAGGAACCAGGAAUGUGCUCAGAAAAAAAUCUUUCCUCACUGAAACCAGGACUAGGGAAAGGAGGUUCCCCUCCACAGUCCAUGGACUCAGGCUGACGGAGCACGCUGUCUCUCUGUGUCUCUCCCUUUCUCUCUCUGGAACGUCGUCAGAUGCCACAGAAGAGGGAAAAGAGACCUGGAAUGACUUGCCGAGGUUCUUGGCCCAUAACCAAGCACUGGGUAAACCGCUUUACCUCAUCCAGUCUUCACAAUUACACCACAAGGCAUAGCUAGUGUAAAACUGACUCACAGCACGUCCAGGAAUGCACCUGUUGAUAAGAUAUUGAGGUGAGGUGCACCAGCAGCUCCUGGCGGUGCACACGGUGGAUGGCACCCAA